rnacentral:rRNA from 1 species
GAGGCGGCGGAGCGGUGGGAGCGGAGUCGGAGUGGGAGUGGCGGCCGGGGGUCGGGGAGAGGGGUUGGGGACGGGCUACUGCAGGGGCCGCGGUCGCGGCGGUCGCCGGCGGCGCCGCGUCAGGGGCGGGGGCGCGUAGCCGGAGCGGCCGGAGCGGUGGUACCCGGUCUUGGAGCGCGAGUUGUAGCGGCUCUUCCCGAAGGGCUAGAGGCAGAUGUUGGCGUGGCGGCGGUUCCAGCUGAGGUGCGAGAGGGCGCGGCGGCGGCUCCCGCGCGAGGGGCACGAGCCGGUGGCGCUGGGCGCCCUGAAGCACGAGAGGGAGCGCGCGGGGGCGUGGCAGCACGAGGAGCAGGUCCGGCCGGGGCGGCAGCUGCGGUGAUAGCUGCGGGAGAGCGGGAUGGAGCUGCGGCCGCUGCGGUAGCAGCUGCCGCCGUUGCUCACCAUGGUCUUGUGCCUCGCGGCGUAGCUCGUCCGGCGUAGGGCCCCCUAUGAGAUGGAGCCGUACCCGCAGAGGCCGCCGCUCCUCCCGCGCGCCUUGCCGGGGAGCGAGUACGGGCCGCCGCUGAAGGUCCGGAUGUCGUUGUAGUUCCUGUAGGAGCUCUUUCGGCGCCGAGUCUGCCUCCUGCCGGGCACGCAGUGCAAACAGCCCGGGCCACCGCGGCCGUUGAAACAGUUCUACCACGUGUUGCCCUAGCUCAUACCACUAUACGUCGAGUAGCGGCUUCGGAUACUGCACGAGGUGGCACAACCGCCGGAGAGUUUAAGCCUCUAUCGGCUACACAAACGACUCACCUUGUUCCCUCUCGACCUCUCGAAGAACCACCUCUAAUGACGUCUGUAUAAGUGACACCGACUAGGUGACCUUCCCUCGUGGCCACCCCGCGACCAACUGUUCUAAGAACUGUUCUGGCCCUACUUCCCCUGGCCCUUCACCUGCCACGUCGUCCGCCGCCUCGAACGUCAGCGACGCGGGUGCUAACGUCGUAGCGACCUACCCUCCAUGAACAGCCCCGAGUUCCUACUCGCUCAACGUCGGCGUUCACACGAUCUCCUUCUCCCCUACGGUCAACCCGAAGACCUCUUCUAAUUACAGCUAUUCUUCCACGACCACCUGUCCCACUCCGUCCGUGAAAUAAGCAGGUUCCAAACGUCGAUGCGUGUCCCCUACUUAGACGAUUCUCGGUUCUCACACCUCGUCCCGACCUUAGAAUUGGAACGGCUCGAAAGUUCCUAAACCUUCCCACCUACGUAAUAAGCCCGUUCCAAAGAACUAUCCUAAUUCUUCCGAAUACUGUCCUUGGGACUCGACCGGUUAAACUAACAGCUGUCCCUCAAGCGGUCCCUCUACCACGUCUCCGUCCCGCGUACCGCCACCCAACACCGGGCCCGUCAUCUCCGACCCUAAUCGUGGGGUCCCUACAGACGCUCGGAAAGUAUGAAACUAUGGAUGUCCACGUUGGCCAACGGUCGCUUAGACUAGGUUCGUGUCUCCCUGAACAAACCUCGUGUGUGGAUACUCGCGUAACUGGCGGGUCCAAGAAAGGUGUGGCUCACCUGAUUCGACCGUUCCCUCCCGUUCACUUACUGAAACGUCGGUGGACUCCUUAAACCACCAUGGUAUACACCAGAGCCACUAAGCCCCACUACAGAGAAGCACCAAGAGAAAUUAAAUAGAUAACGACAAAAACGUUAUGCUCUAGACUUAACACAUGGAACUUAUUACAUCACAGAACACGACAUACGUGCACUUCUUGUAAACACAUCGAAGUCCAAGAUACCAAAUCUAUGUGGGUCAAAAUAGGUGAAUAUUUAAACCUCGUUGCCAAAAUUACGGAGCGUAGGGUUACAACGGGAACUUCACACUAAAGCUUAUACAGUUAUACCACCAUUGACCAUUCUCAUCACUGACUACAAAGAGAUGAAGAUACUUAGAUAAAAUCCAACAAGUCACAACGUUCCAUCAUAAAGUAAAGUGGACGACACGACAGUGGGAUGACAACC